rnacentral:rRNA from 1 species
AUUGAACGCUGGCGGCAGGCUUAACACAUGCAAGUCGAGCGGGGUGAUGGUGCUUGCACUAUCACUUAGCGGCGGACGGGUGAGUAAUGCUUAGGAAUCUGCCUAUUAGUGGGGGACAACAUCUCGAAAGGGAUGCUAAUACCGCAUACGUCCUACGGGAGACAGCAUGGGAUCACUUGUGACCUUGCGCUACUAUAUGACCCUAAGUCGGAUUAGCUAGUUGGUGGGGUAAAGGCCUACCAGGGCGACGAUCUGUAGCGGGUCUGAGAGGAUGAUCCGCCACACUGGGACUGAGACACGGCCCAGACUCCUACGGGAGGCAGCAGUGGGGAAUAUUGGACAAUGGGGGGAACCCUGAUCCAGCCAUGCCGCGUGUGUGAAGAAGGCCUUAUGGUUGUAAAGCACUUUAAGCGAGGAGGAGGCUCUUUUGGUUAAUACCCAAGAUGAGUGGACGUUACUCGCAGAAUAAGCACCGGCUAACUCUGUGCCAGCCGCCGCCGUAA